GCGGUUGAGGAUGAGCAUGCGUGACAUUAGCUUGUUGGUGAGGUAACGGCUCACCAAGGCGACGAUGUCUAGGGGGUCUGAGAGGAUGAUCCCCCACACUGGUACUGAGACACGGACCAG
rnacentral:rRNA from 1 species